rnacentral:ncRNA from 1 species
ACAAAGAAAAGGCAAGACACGCGAAAACGUGUUACGCAAAACCACCGGUCUAAGGGUCGAUAUAUUAUAUCUUCCUAUGACAGCGGAGUUACCGUG